UCAGCCUAUUUUCAUAGCUGUAAUGCUUUAGGGUAGAAUGCAAUUUUUUUAUGUCCCUUGUGUUUUAGAUGCUAAACUAUUCAUGCUGUUGUCAUUUUUAUGAACACUAAACAUGUGUCCUUACUCACUCUGCUGAAAAAAGAAAAAUAAUAUCAUUAUACAACAAUGAGAUUGUGGGUAAUUUUGUGACGUAAAAUAGAACAAAAUAACACUUACGUUUUCUUUGCAGAUUGUAUCACUUGAAUAGGUUUGGAGUAUUGCAGAAUGGAGGCAAAAGGCUGGAUACCGGGGAACAACUUUUAGACCUCCAAUUUCAAGUACUGGUCUUCAAUUCCCUGAGGAGGAAAGCUCAGAUGAAUGCCUGCCCUGUAAGUGUUAUUCAUCAGCUCCUCUGUUGAUGCUUAACAAACAUUCAACAGCUUCAUCUGGCUUUGUAUCUGGAGCACAACUCUAUUUGCAGUGCUGGCUUCCUCAGAAAGACUUCCAACACCUUCUCAAAAAAAGUUAUUGUAUUAAAAUAAUUCCACCCAUCUUGUGAAUGCCCAUUUGUUAUGUAGGUUUCAAAUGUCAAGUUUUGAAAGAAACAAUUAUAGUAACCAGUUAUUUUUUUUAUUUAAAACGCGAAUAAAUAAAUCUGUUUGCAAGACUUGCUUUUAGGUAGAGUUGCACUACCUUGUUCAUUUCACCUGAAGGGUGAUAACCCUUCAAUGGAUUUUUUCCUGUCAUUAAAUCAAAACCAGUUGCUGCUGAGGUGAAAUGAUCCAGGAAGUGUAACAGAUUUCCUGUGAGAAAGGCAUAGAAACUGAGAACCUUCUUUAACCGAAAGUAGUACCAGAUAUAAAAUGAAAAUACAAUUAUUCUUGGCUCACUCUGAGAAGGCCAAGUCUCAGGCGUGCUACGCUUAUUCUUUAAAUAAUUUAUAUAAAAUAUGCAAUGCAAAUAUUUUUAAAUAGCAUGUUUACACAGAUAACCAUGAAUAAACUAAAAUAAGAGGAUAGAUAGCGUCUCGCUUUGUUUCAAUUUGGCAAAUUUGUCAACACUUCUCCGUUUUAAAGGUCGCUUAUCUCCAGUACAAUUAUUCAGAGAAAGUGGACAGAGAGAAAAAUAUAUAGAGAGAAUUAAAUUCUAAAUACUGAAAUGUAUUAUUUUUCUCAAUAACAUUCGGUGAAAUUCAGUGCUUACCUGGCAUAUUAACACCCUGCCUCUACUCAUGAAUGAUUGGACAGCUCAGAUUUUUCACUUUUCCAUUGGCUACUCACUCGCCUUCAAUUUUCAUGCAGAAUACCGUGAAUGGCCUCUGCUUGCUUAUGAUUGGAUAGCUGUGUAAAACUUGGCAAAUAUUUGACUCUCCUAUUGGUUAAACUUACUGUCAGUACCUGCAACUGAAACAGACACAGUUUAUGUCCCACCCAGCUAGCUUAUGAUUGGGCUACCACAGAGAAAAUGCAGAUAUCCAAUUGGUUGAUCAUAUUGCAGAGGCCCUUCAGGAAAAAAAUAAAUAUGUUGAGUAUGUACAAGCACAGCAUAAGCGAGCAGCACGGUCAAUAGACUGCUGUGAUGCUUUUGUUGGAAAACCUGUUUAAAGCUUUAUUUAUAUUUUCCCACGCUACGACCCGCCAGAAAUGUGUUCACGACCCAUCAUUUAAGAACAGCUGCCACGGGCACGAUGUCCUCCUACUUUUUCUUCCAAUGUAUUUUUUUGCAGACCCCAGGCACUUUUAUCCACGCAUAUGUAUAUUACAGGUUUAAUGACAACUUGUUUUGUUAACAUGGAAAUAUACUAGGGGACACACUUAUUGUGACAUCUAUAUCAUUUAUAUUAAAUUAUUUAUUUUUGUUUUAAAAUUGAACAUUUACCUGCAAUUUUUUUUUUAUAUAUAAAUAUAAAAACAGGUCUGACAUGCAUGGGAUUUGCAACUAUAACCUUCAGUUUGCAAGUGUGUUAUGUUUCUUUCAGUGCUACACGAUUAGUUCAACAAACAAACAGUAUUUCGAAAGAUGAAGUCAGCCAGCUGAUAAUUCUCUGGACUUUGUUACAUUUUGGAGAUUUUUCAAAUCAUCAUUCACUUUUACUUUCAAAUUUAAAAAUGUAUUGUAACGACCCGGACAAUUGCUUUAUUGCAGGACUUGCUGUCUGUUCAGUUUGUCUCGUCUGUCUUUUAUAUGUUACAUGUAUUGUAAGGGGAACGGGUCACGCCAUUACUUAGCAUGGGAAGGGAGAGCGAGUGAAUGAGUGGGGAGAAUGUGUGUUGUUUUCAGGGGUUGCUGAGCAUGGAUGCAACUGGCUGAUGAGCCUUACAGCAGCGGGAAAUGACAAAAGGUUAUAUAAUAAGGGUGUGCAUGAGCCUGGGGACUGGAGAAGGUCCAGUGCUGAACUUGAAUGAGAAACUGUCGGUGCGAGUGAGUGAGCGUGUGAGCUGCGACCGCAGAGAACAUGCAGUGAAAGUGCCAAGGCUAAAAUGUAUGUUCAUUGUUUUGGCCGUGAAUUCCGGCCCGACAGGAAUUCUCUGUAGUUUCAAAUAAAACAAAGAUUUUGAGAAUUCAACACCGGCUCCCUGAGUACUACUUCCUAAACAUGAAAACCUUACAAUAUACUAAAUGUACAGAUCAAGCUUAUGAUAGUUUGCAAAAUCAGAUGAACUCUUUAAAUACAAAUCGGAAUAACACAUAAUCAUUAUUUACAAAAUCGUGUCUUGUUACUUGUUAAAAACUGUAACUUUACUGCUGUACUGCUUGCAAAUGUUGUAAAAUGUAAGUACAAACUGUGUGGCGUGAAAGUUAGUGCGUCUGUACUACAAACUGCAUUGGACCACACAGGGUUUAUAUUGCAAACUUAAAAUUUAAAAAAAACAAAAAACACAUUUUUAAUGUGAAAAAAUGUAGUUGAUAUGCAUGACACUUUCAUUGAACAUACAUACUUUUGCACACAUAACUAACGUGUCUAUUUAUAUGUAUAUGGAUGUCGCUUAUUAACAACCUCUGUUCUCAGCAAAAAGUUGUCAUUAUCCAAAAGUUGCCAAUAAGUGAAAAGCCCCCGUUUAAGUGUCUUUAUAUAGAACGAUAGUGUACUUGUACAAACAUGGAACUGAAAUACGUGUUUUAAAUGUUAGUGUUAAAAUUAACAUGAGAAGCACGAAAUACCCAAACAUAGAACUGUUUACUUCAUGCGUGUGUAAAACAAAAUAAAAAAGGAGUAGGCUUAAAUAGUACUACAUUUGCCCUUAAAAUGUAAAGCAAACAUAAAAAAUGUGUUGUACUUGCAGCCAAUUCUAAAGAACACCAUUUUAAAAUAAGAAAUUGUCCAACGUUGUCUGCUUUUUACAAUGUACCACCUCCUGCUGUAAAUCCAUCUCAACUGUGCGUGCGGCUUCAUAACCAGUUUCAAAGUCAUGAUUCUGCCUCAUUCCGCCAGAAAUACACAGUUGUGAAGUCUGUGUGUUAUAAAAGCUGCAUGAAGUAUGUGCAUAAAUCACGCAAGUGCGCUCGCUAUCUUAUCUAGUAUUUUAGAUUGAAGACUUGCAACCUAAAGUUAGUCUAACUGUGAAUAAAACAGAAGCAAAUUUCUAGAUAUAUUUAUUGUAACAACUAAUUUCAACAAAAGACAUGUAUAAAAAAGAUUUUCAAUCAAACAUUUGUGCUUAAAGGUUUAUAUUCUUCAAAACAUACAAGAAGACUUCCAUAGGAAGUUGAAAUAGUUUGGGGAAAAAAAAAUUGUUUGUUUAAAAGUGAUAGGCGAGGAGCAGGCAGGGUAACAACUAAUUAUGUGGUGCAUUUUAAUGCUCAUUCCAACAAAAAGACUUGUUUUACCAAUACAGUAAGAUCCUAGAUUUAAGGAAAGAGAAGUUUUGUUGGCUGGUGAUGGAUGACAGACUGAAUUGACUCCCUUUGAGCACAUGGCCAGCUUGUAUUCAGAAUACUUCACUUGCCAGUCUCAAUGAAUCAGCAUGGAGAAAUCAUUGGAAUAACACAAUUCUCAUAGACUGUUUUCCACAAUGACACUUAGCAAUGGAAAAAUAAGGUCACAUUAAAAAAAAGUGACAAACGUACUCUUAUUGGAAUGUUAUGGACGUCAAUAGUGUGAUACGCAAGUAUUUUACAUUUGGGUACAAAGCAUUGAAGCAAGCAAUUU